UACGGAGGAUGCAAGCGUUAUCCGGAAUGAUUGGGCGUAAAGCGUCCGCAGGUGGCAAUGUAAGUCUGCUGUCAAAGCGUCUGGCUCAACAAGAUAAAGGCAGUGGAAACUACAUAGCUAGAGUAAGGUAGGGGUAGAGGGAAUUCCUGGUGUAGCGGUGAAAUGCGUAGAGAUCAGGAAGAACACCGGUGGCGAAAGCGCUCUGCUGGACCUUAACUGACACUGAGGGACGAAAGCUAGGGGAGCGAAUGGG
rnacentral:rRNA from 1 species